AUUGAACGCUGGCGGCAUGCUUUACACAUGCAAGUCGAACGGUAACAGGUUAAGCUGACGAGUGGCGAACGGGUGAGUAAUGCAUCGGAACGUGCCCGGUCGUGGGGGAUAACGCAGCGAAAGCUGCGCUAAUACCGCAUACGAUCUGAGGAUGAAAGCGGGGGACCGUAAGGCCUCGCGCGAUCGGAGCGGCCGAUGUCAGAUUAGGUGGUUGGUGGGGUAAAGGCUCACCAAGCCAACGAUCUGUAGCUGGUCUGAGAGGACGACCAGCCAAGCUGGGACUGAGACACGGCCCAGACUCCUACGGGAGGCAGCAGUGGGGAAUUUUGGACAAUGGGCGAAAGCCUGAUCCAGCAAUGCCGCGUGCAGGAAGAAGGCCUUCGGGUUGUAAACUGCUUUUGUACGGAGCGAAAAGGUCUCCUCUAAUACAGGGGGCUCAUGACGGUACCGUAAGAAUAAGCACCGGCUAACUACGUGCCAGCCGCCGCCGUAA
rnacentral:rRNA from 1 species